UGCCAGCAGCCGCGGUAAUACGAAGGGGGCUAGCGUUGUUCGGAAUCACUGGGCGUAAAGCGCACGUAGGCUGACUGGUCAGUUGGUGGUGAAAGCCCAGAGCUCAACUCUGGAACUGCCAUCAAAACUGACUUACUUGAGAUUGGUAGAGGGAAAUGGAAUUCCUAGUGUAGAGGUGAAAUUCGUAGAUAUUGGGAAGAACAUCGGUGGCGAAGGCGAUUUCCUGGGCCAAUUCUGACGCUGAGGUUCGAAAGCGUGGGUAGCAAACAGGAUUAGAUA
rnacentral:rRNA from 1 species